rnacentral:rRNA from 1 species
AGUAAUGUAUGGGGAUCUGCCUGAUGGCGGGGGAUAACUACUGGAAACGGUAGCUAAUACCGCAUAAUGUCUGCGGACCAAAGCGGGGGACCUCCGGGCCUCGCGCCAUCAGAUGAACCCAUAUGGGAUUAGCUAGUAGGUAAGGUAACGGCUUACCUAGGCGACGAUCCCUAGCUGGUCUGAGAGGAUGAUCAGCCACACUGGGACUGAGACACAGCCCAG